UCUUGACUUCUCGCUGGCUCCGGAGUCUCGGUGCCCAUGAGAACCGAGGCUGCAGCGGGAAGCAGUUCGUGCUGCUGGAUGGGUUCUGACACGCCGCUCUGAGCCGCGGGUUUCACUCCCCAGCUCCCCAAGGAGCACAAAGCACGCUGCUCCCUUUUAGGGGUUUGAUGUUUUACGCAGCUUGGCUGAAGGUUUUGCCAGGUUGAGCCAUCCACAGGAAUUUCUGCGGUGUGAAGGAUUUCCCUGUGGGUGCAGAGCUGGCAUGAAGGGUCCUCUGGAGCUAAUCUGGCACAAUUUCCAUUCCAGUCAGAGGAAGAUUCCCACUGAUGCCAAGAACAGGACUCCAUGUUGAGAGACUCCUCAAAUGAAAGGCUUAUUUCGAGACGUUUCCUAUGGAGUAACUGCUGCUGCUGCUGAGAGGUGACGGGAGACAUCCACAGUGCUGAAGGGAACGUAUGGAAGUGUCAUGGCAAUGACAGGCACGAAGCCAAAGGCUGCCAUUAUCUCUCUUUCCAUCCCAGAGGAGCUAAGCAGGCAGUGCAGAGGGAGAACAUGGCAUCAGCAGAUCCAUCCUCCAGCCCCUUGGGUGCUGCCAGCCAGAAUAAAGGAGAAGAGACAAUGAAGAUAAAAUCUUGGCUGCUUAGAACGAACUUUUUAAAUUGCCUUGUGGAUUAACAGGAUUGUCUCUGCUGUUACAUUUAAGUCCCCUGAAUACACUUGGACAAGCUUUUCUCUGGUUCUUACAACCAGCCAGAACUCCUCGGUACAGUUGCUGUAAGAAUGCAGUAGCUGGAGAGGAAUCAUUGAACAAGUGAGGUCAGAAUCUCAAGAGAUCCUGUCUGCAGAACUUUGUAGGUAAAACCUCAGCUAUGGAAAAUUCUCAGCUUUUGAGGAAAACCUGUUGUGAAGGGUUUAGCAAAAGUACACACAGCAGGAUGUAGGAAGAGAAACACAUUUUUGGCUGCUUGAGAGCCCUCACAGUAAGUUGUCCAAAAGGUCUAAGAAUUUGAGGGAGAAAUGCUUGUGAAGCUGAGCAAUUUUGUGAAUUGCAGCUGGCUUCACAGAAAUCUUAGAUGAGGAACAAAAAAUGCAAGGCAGUCUCUUGUGUGCUUAUUUAAUGUAAUUAAUUAAUGCAUUUUGAACCACUUUUUUUUUGGUGCAAAGGGAUCUUAAUUAUAGCAUAAAAUUCAGCUGUAAUUGAUGUAGAAGAUCUUCAUGUAAAUGAAAAGAUGAGCUGCUGUGUUUGAAACUGGAGGGAAGAAGAAAUGCCCGGUUGUAAGGUCACAGUUUGAGUGGGUUUGAUUUAUGUUAAAGGUUAACUGACACAGAGAGGACAUGCUCAGGUACUUGUGGAGCACAUGAACCAGCUUUGCUGUCCUGGCUGACAUAUCAGUAAUGCACUGAUAAUGAGGGUAACUUGCUUAUUUCUGUGACUUAAAAGAUCCACUCCAAAAAUUGCCUGAAAAUGCUGCAAAUGAAGAGGUUCAUAGAGAAAGCUCGUGGAUCUAGCUGUGCUCAAGAAGGACUCCUGUGUCCAACACCUUCCUGCAGCCUACACCACACUGAUCUUCCCAAAAAAAAUCAACAGCUUUGGGCUUUCCUCAGUGAUCUGAAUGUAAGUGAAAGCAAGAGCACUUCUUUCUUAUUUAAUUUAAUAUGAAUGCAACCAGAAUUUAUUUACUAGGGUGAAAUGUCCUACAUCUCUGCAGAAGUCACAGAGCGGGGUUCCAAAGCAAUGCUUUCAGUCCCAUUCUCAGGUUCAGGUUCAAAGGCAUCACUUCUUGUGGUGUGCUUUGACCUAACAUGAUGUGAUUCAUGCAUGAAAUCCCCCUGGGAUUCCCUGGGCUGGUUCAUCUUCUGAGUUUUACCUGACUCCUCUCCCUUCCCAAGCAAACCCUGCUCUGAGUUACCACAAGUGUGGUCAACCUGAAAGGGCCAUUAUGAGGCAGGAAUCCCUGUGCUUUGCUGGGACAGGAGGCACAUAUCUGCCUUCAGCUGUCCUCUGGAUGCUCCAUCUGUCCCAGAUUAUGGAGAAGAACGUGAAGUUUAUGAUGGUUAUUGUCAAAUGAAUCUUGUAAUGUGUUUGCUUUAAAACUCCCUUUGAGUUUUUCUGAUGAAGUUAAGAGAUGGAAGGGGAAUGCAGAGCAGCUUUAUCAGAGUAACUGGCCUCCUUUGGUUUUAAAGCCAAAAUUAAACUGAUAAAUGCAAAGCCCACCUCUACAAUGGCAGACUGACUUUGGUAUUAUAUUUUCUCUGGAUUUGGUUUAGAGUAAUAUUGUUGUAUUUAGAGUAAUGUCUAUGAAACAUGAUUAUAUGGUAAUUCCUAAAAAAAAUUCAUUCCCUGCCUUUGUAGAUCAAUGACUUGUUCUUUUCUCAGGACAAAUGCUGAUGAAUUCAUACAGAGUUUUAGCAUUGUAACCUCCCCACUUUCUUCAAUUUUUUAGCAUUGUAACCUCCUCACCUUCUUGCUGAAGCCCCAUUUCAUUUCCUGCUCCUGUUCUCAGCCAUUGCUCCAAAGGAGCACACAAGGAUUGCCCUUGCUGCUGGGUUCUAGGAACAGGCUGGCAACCUUGCCUAGAUUCCCAUUUAAUUGUGCAUUUUCCACCUUAUCCAUCACUUCUUGUGGAAAGAGAUGGGCAUCUUACCUUCCUAGCAUUUUUAUCUGAACAUGUUUUUACCAACACAUUAGCUCAUAUUUGUACAAUCACAGAAUCCUAGGAUGGCUUGGGUUGGAAGGGACCUUGAAGACCAUCUAGUUCCAACCCCUGCCUUGGGCAGGGACACCUUCCACUGCAGCAGGCUGCUCAAAGACCCACCUAAACUGACCUUGAACACUUCCAGGGAUGGAUGCCAAGAUCCAGGACCUUACACUUGGCCUUGUUGAGCUUCACAAGGUUCAGUCCCUGUCCCUGAUGGAGGUGUUGGAGAUCAGCAGUCCCCACAGUGACCCCUGAGGAGCACCACUCAUCACUGGUUUCCUCUUGGACAUGGAGCUGCUGACCACAGCACUUGCAGAGUGACCAUCCAGCCAAUUCCUUAUCCACCAACUGCCAGCUUCACCAGACUGCCACAAUUUCUCAAAUAGUAUGGAUAGUGGCUCAGCCACUUCAUCCACUAGUGCCCUCAGGACCCAUGCACCUCAUGCAUCUCAUGCAUCUCAUGCAUCUCCUCAGGUUCCAUGGAUUUUACACCUUCACACUCCUCAGAUGCUCUGGUUCCUGUUCUUCCCUUGCACUGGGUGGUUCUUCAUUCCCCCAGUCACCGCCUUUGGCUUCUGUGACUUGGCUGGUGUGGCUGGAGCCCCUGCUGGUGGAAAUGGAGGCAAAAACAUCACUGAGUUCUCACCCUUCUCCAUAUCCCACCUGGGUAACCAGCUCUUCCAUCUCCUUCUGAAGAUGGCCCACAUUUUCCUUGGUUUUUCUUUUAUCAUCAAUGUACCUGUAGAAGCCUUUUUUGUUCUCUUUGAUGUCCCUGGCCAGUUUUAAUUCCAUCAGGGUUUUGGCUUUCAUAAUCUGAUCCCUGGGUACAAUUCUGUCUAUAUUCCUCUCAGGCCACCUGUUCCUCUGUUCCUGCUUCCAUCCUCUGCAGAUUUCCUUUUUCUGUUUGAUUUUGUCCAGGAGCUCUUGGAGGAUUUUACUGAUGAUUUUAUGAAUAUACCAACCCUAUCAGAUGCUAAUGGUUGUGGCUGCUACCAGUUUAGGAUGAUUCUAAACCAUGAACUGGUAAGCAGUGGAAGGGUUUUAUUUCUUUGUGGAUGUGCCAAUACCCUAGUACAGUUGUUUUAAUAAUAAUAAUAUUUUAAAACAUUGCAAAGCUGGCAUUUCCCCUUCACCCUCUGGUAUAGUCACAGCAGAAUGAAUGGAUCAUUGUUAGAAGAAUCAUUUCCCUGCACAAAGCAACCUCUAUUCACAAUUGGAAGUUUAGAAAUGUUCAGUCAGUCAUGACAAUUAAAUAAAAUUAUUGUCUGAGCAUCUCUUAGGGUUACAAAUCAUUCUGUCUCCAGUUGGUGCUACCUGUGCUUUAUUAGAAAUCCACAGAAUCUUUAAGACUGACAACAACUUUAGUGGAAACAGUCUCUUGAAAUAUGAUUUCUCUUUCCAUGUUCAGAAGCAAAGAGCAGUUGUUUGUACCUUGAAUAAAGAAUAAUUUUGUGCCCUUGUCCCCAGGACUACAGACAUGGGAGUGAGCUUAGAACAAAACCACAAAGUGUCAGUGGAGGCUUUUGAGAAAGUGAGCUAUGGGAACAAUGAAAAAUUUGGUUUGGUGACAGAGAGCAGUUGAUAUUUUUGGGAUAGUUGAUGUCUGAAGAAAUCUGUGAUAAAAUUUACAGCUAUUUAGAAGAGAAAAAAAAUCAGGGAAGAUAGAAUUUAUCUAGACACACUAAGCCUAAGAGAAACAAGAGAAGUUUUACAAAUAAGAACUUCUGGCAGUAAAAUGUAUUCCAGAUAGCAGAAAGUUGUUUUUUGAAUACUCUGAAAAAAUCCUGAUGGGGAAUUUUUAUUGGUCUUUUCCUACCUCUACUUAUUUACACUCUCCAGAAGAUGAAUCCUUUCUUAUUAACCAGUAAGAAAGGCCAGCAUUCAGCAAGGAUUUGGAUGUAGAGUCUCCAGCAGCACUGUUUAAUGAGUGUAUUCUUGGAAAGCACUCAGUUGACCGUAGUAGCUGAAUUCCUGACUGCAGCACUCCAGGCAGUGUCAAACACUCAGGAUGAGUUGUGUAGAAAUAAACCUGUGACACAGGAAAUAGGCUACGAGGUGGUUCUGUGCUGUCUGAGGGUGGAAGGAGCUGGAGCAAAUCCAUCACUGUUUAUGUGGUUGUAUUUGUGACACAUGGGAGCUGAACUAACAGAGGAAGUGCAGAAUAAAUAAAUACUCAGCAGAGAGUGAUUAUGGUUAAGAUCCCUAGUCCUGUGAGCGUGACUUAGGGCCAGUUGCAAGGAAUUCCUUCUCAUUGAUUUUAUAGAGUAUAUCUACAUUCUGAAACAGUUUCUAGCUAGUUGUAGUAAUAAUAAUGGCAUGUGUUAAUGUUGUAAUCUCUUAAGAGCUCAUUUCUUCACAUGUCUUUUUAUAGAAACAUUAAUUCUUUUGGCAAAAUUUUUGUGAUGUUCUUUCUAAAAUACUGAGGAAGAAUAUUUUUGCAACUGCUGCUUUGUAUAUUUUGGGUCUCAUGCAUGAUUUAUCACUUACUAAAUUUGAAAUCCAAAUUAUGGAACUGGCUAUAGCUAUUGCCAGAAAGCAGAAUCUGCAGUGCUGGAAAAGGACUAAAAAGGUUAUCAUCUGACUAAGCUGCAACAUUUCUUGGAACAACAUUUGUAUUGUAGGUUACUAACAGCUUUGCAAUCCACAGGUGCUCCCUCACAAUAGCAAAAGUGUUGUAAUUCAUCUAUAAUCAGGACAUUAUUUUUACUGCAAGUUAUUCUGACUUUGCAGUCAAUGGAAACUAACCAGCUAUAGUAAAAGUGUUGUCAUUCAUCUAUAACUGGGACUGUACUUCCAUGGUAAGUUAUUCCAACUUUGUAGUGAAUGAAAACUUACCAGCAAUAGCAAGUGUGCUGUCAUUCAUCUAAAAUAGAAGGGAGGAGAAAGGAGAAAGAUGGACAAAAUGCAGAGCAAUGUAUUUGCAAAGGAAUCUGAGCAAAAUAACCCCAGAGGAGUGCAAGGUAAUGUUAAGUUGGUGAAAUUCAGUACAGCUGAAAGGCCACAGCUUUUCCUUUGGCAUCUGCCUGCCUGAUUUCAGACAGGAUGAAGGGGUGCAGUGCAGUGAAUGUGUUCUGGUGAAGUCAAAGCUCACUGGGGUUAUAGAAGCUGCUUGCAGAGCUCAGUGCACUUUAAGGUAGGGUAAGAAAGGUAAGUAUUAUCUUAUAUAAUAUUUAUAUACCUGAGUAUUUUAAAGCUGGCUUGGACAUGGGAGGCGGCAGUGUAGACAUCCCAUACAUAGCUCUUCUAGGCAAGAAGCCUGCCCUUUUUUGUGCUACAAGAGCACUGUAGGCACUUAACAGUUAUUAAUAAUAACUAAUUAAUAAUGGUCCAAAUCCUUGGCUGUGAUUGAGGACCUCAGAGAAUAACUCAUCUAGAGUUGUAGGAAAAGAUGGCUCAAAACAAUCUUAGCCAAAUCCUGGGCCAGCUUUGUGCCUUGACUUUGCUCCAGCAAAAGAUAAAGCAGCAGGGUACAAUUUGUUCUGAGACAUUAGCAAGGGAGAGAGAAGGACAUAAUGAAUACAUUUUAUUGGUAAUGCACAAGAAGAAUGCAGAGUGGUGGCAAAUAAGACUAUUAGGGAAUAAGAGUAUAAAAUUAGAUGGAAAGGAAGAGAUGAGAUUGGUCAAUUCCACUGGUCCUAAAUCAACAUUUCAUCUCAGAAACCACAAAAGUCAGCAGCUGAGUGGAGGCGAAUGAAAGACUAGGGUCAAAACAACAAUCAUAAUUUAUCUGAGUGUCAGAAAAGCAUUUUUACACUAAGUACACAACACAUCGAUUUACACUUGAUAGACAGUACUUACACAAAAAGAGACUUCAACCCUCCCUGAAUAGCCUGCAGCACAAUACAGAUUCUUUUCAUGGUAAACCUAGGGAGGGAAAACAAUCCCUUUUUAUACAAGGAAUUUUCACUUAAGUAUUUGAGUCUACUGGGAACAGCCUGAAAGACACAUGCCACACUCCCCACUCACAUCUCCAGAGGCUGGUGGUUUGAUGUGCUGAUGCUGUUUGAUAGUGUGGGGGGCACUUUUAGGAACCUUGGUGGAAAGAAGCACAGCAGAAAGCUUCAGCUGCUGGUUUCAUUCCUCUUUGGAGGUGCCUGAUGGAAGAUCCAGGAGUUGUUUACUUGCACAACAAGGAGCAGGGUAUGCUGGUAGGAAGACCAAGUUUCACCUUUGGGAGUCAAAGGACUGUGUUUGAUAGCAAAAGAUUUGCUUCCUUUGCUGGUGAUGUUGUUUUUGCCUUUUU